UUUCCGUAGGUGAACCUGCGGAAGGAUCAUUAUUGAAUGAAACACUUCUGGCUUUAUGCUGUUGUGCUGGCCCUUUGGGCAAUGUGCACACGGCUCUGGUCACUUGUUUCUUCUGUUCCACCUGUGCACUGCCUGUAGACACGCUGUGUCUAUGAUAUUUGUUAACACACAACAAUGUUAGUUGGCAUGUUAUAUAUAAUAUUAAAAUAUACAACUUUCAACAACGGAUCUCUUGGCUCUC
rnacentral:misc_RNA from 1 species